UACGAAGGGGGCUAGCGUUGUUCGGAAUCACUGGGCGUAAAGGGCGCGUAGGCGGCCGAUCAAGUCGGGGGUGAAAGCCCGAGGCUCAACCUCGGAACUGCCUUCGAUACUGCGGGUCUCGAGUCCGGGAGAGGUGAGUGGAAUUCCUAGUGUAGAGGUGAAAUUCGUAGAUAUUAGGAAGAACACCAGUGGCGAAGGCGGCACACUGGCCCGGUACUGACGCUGAGGCGCGAAAGCGUGGGGAGCAAACAGG
rnacentral:rRNA from 1 species